UCGAGCGAACACUUCGGUGGUGAGCGGCGAACGGGUGAGUAACACGUAGGUGAUCUGCCCAUCAGACGGGGACAACGAUUGGAAACGAUCGCUAAUACCGGAUAGGACGAAAGUUUAAAGGUGCUUCUGGCACCGCUGAUGGAUGAGCCUGCGGCGCAUUAGCUAGUUGGUAGGGUAAAGGCCUACCAAGGCGACGAUGCGUAGCCGACCUGAGAGGGUGAACGGCCACACUGGGACUGAGACACGGCCCAGACUCCUACGGGAGGCAGCAGUAGGGAAUCUUCGGCAAUGGGCGAAAGCCUGACCGAGCAACGCCGCGUGAAUGAUGAAGGCCUUCGGGUUGUAAAAUUCUGUUAUAAGGGAAGAACGACUUUAGUAGGAAAUGGCUAGAGUGUGACGGUACCUUAUGAGAAAGCCACGGCUAACUACGUGCCAGCAGCUGCGGUAAUACGUAGGUGGCGAGCGUUAUCCGGAAUUAUUGGGCGUAAAGAGCGCGCAGGUGGUUGAUUAAGUCUGAUGUGAAAGCCCACGGCUUAACCGUGGAGGGUCAUUGGAAACUGGUCGACUUGAGUGCAGAAGAGGGAAGUGGAAUUCCAUGUGUAGCGGUGAAAUGCGUAGAGAUAUGGAGGAACACCAGUGGCGAAGGCGGCUUCCUGGUCUGUAACUGACACUGAGGCGCGAAAGCGUGGGGAGCAAACAGGAUUAGAUACCCUGGUAGUCCACGCCGUANACGAUGAGUGCUAAGUGUUGGGNGUCGAACCUC
rnacentral:rRNA from 1 species